AUACGGAGGGUGCAAGCGUUAAUCGGAAUUACUGGGCGUAAAGCGCGCGUAGGCGGUUUAGUAAGUCGGAUGUGAAAGCCCUGGGCUCAACCUGGGAAUUGCAUUCGAAACUGCUUAACUAGAGUAUGGUAGAGGGAAGUGGAAUUUCCGGUGUAGCGGUGAAAUGCGUAGAUAUCGGAAGGAACACCAGUGGCGAAGGCGACUUCCUGGGCCAAUACUGACGCUGAGGUGCGAAAGCGUGGGGAGCAAACAGGAUUAGAAACCCCGGUAGUCC
rnacentral:rRNA from 1 species